GGGGGUUGCUUUUCAAACUUCGGGUUGCGAUGACUGAUCCGCUCAUGGUUUUGACAUGAAUGUAUUUAAUGUUUUUCCUCAUAACGUGUAAUGUUUCUAAACGGCGGCGCUGCGUUUCGAUUUUAUUCUGAUACGGUAAAUGAAAGCUUCCGGGGACGAAACGCGCCGCUGCUGCCUGAGAUCCGCCUCAGAGGAGCCGCUGGCGUCACUGUUCUGCUGCAGGAGCUGCCGGAAAGGAGAAAAAGAAAAAGAAGCAAUAUUGCCAGAUUGAGUGCGUCCAGGUUGGCGUUUUGCAGUGCAUGCCGCCGAGGAUGAUCUUUAUUAACAGACCUGCUGCCUGUUAUCAGCCAUGUUCUUUCUUUUUGACACGACAUGACAUGACGCGCUUGUGACGAAGCAAACGUGACUGAAAUCCGCCUGUGGUGAAAUGCUGGAGGUGAUGACUCUGAGAUGCGUAAAUGCGCAGUUUGGAGAGCAAAGCAGCUGCUGGUGCUGGAUGAGAAGGAGGAGUAUUCGGUGCACCUGUCUCUCCACCUCACUACCCCGUCCAGACAAAUUUGACUGGAUCUGUCUCUCGGUCGAGCGCUGAGGAACUAUUGGCUACGCAAAUAGACACACAGGGAGGAGGAAACAACUUGGAUUGGAAGAAGAAAAAAAAACUUUAAAGAGACAUUUCCCCCACUUUUCUCACUAGCAUUGCGAUAUAGCCAACAAGCGCUGGGUGGAAAUUAACAACUCUAAAGCUCUGUGGACUUACAGUCUCCAGUCUUGUCCCCGAUGCACUGAAGUCUCGUUUCAUUCAAGGCUCGGUCUUUGAAGUUGACUAAGAAUAGGAGGGGGAUUACCAUAUUUACCCAUGCGGAUUCCCUUUGUGGCUUCAUGUGAGGCUAAAUCAUUUGGCAGUCUUUUUUUUUAAUUAAAUGACUUGCGCUCUCCGCUUCGAUUCCACCUGCUUCUUGUACAUGAAUUAUCAAGGAAGUCCAAAAAUUAAAAAAUAAAGUGUUUUACAGC
ensembl:lncRNA